AACAGCAUCUGAUCGUGAGGAGGAGUCGGCGGUGGACAGUUGUUGCACUACCGAAACGGCCAGCAUCUACAAAUACCUGAGUGAGGUAAAAGCCAAAUUGGACAACCUG